rnacentral:miRNA from 1 species
UGGCAGCUCGGCUCUACUCUGG